UUUAGGCAGAUGGAGACUUAUGCACUGUGACUUUGGGUCAAGAGAAAUUUUGAGAAACACAUUGAAGGAUCUGUUAACACUUGGUAAACCCAGUAAAAGCAGUGGUUGUGCCAGUCCUGAUCUGUCUUGCUGUGAAUGUGAACACUGGGAACCCGAGCUAAGCAGUUAAUGCUAGGGUGACAGAAACUGGAGCUCUCCCAAGACAUAUGACACAGUAACGCAGCAGCCAACUUCUUCACCAAAUUAAAGUUUUACAAGAUUUAACCUGUCAUCAAGACCUGGGAUUAUGGUGGUGAGUCAUCAUCAAAAGCCAAGUUCAGUCCCUGGUUUGCCUUCUUUUCU
rnacentral:lncRNA from 13 species